AGCGAACGCUGGCGGCAGGCCUAACACAUGCAAGUCGAACGAACCUUUCGGGGUUAGUGGCGGACGGGUGAGUAACACGUGGGAACGUGCCUUUAGGUUCGGAAUAACUCAGGGAAACUUGUGCUAAUACCGAAUGUGCCCUUCGGGGGAAAGAUUAAUCGCCUUUAGAGCGGCCCGCGUCUGAUUAGCUAGUUGGUUGAGGUAAUGGCUCACCACGGCGACGAUCAGUAGCUGGUCUGAGAGGAUGAUCAGCCACAUUGGGACUGAGACACGGCCCAAACUCCUACGGGAGGGAGCAGUGGGGAAUCUUGCGCAAUGGGCGAAGGCCUGACGCAGCCAUGCCGGGUGAAUGAUGAAGGUCUUAGGAUUGUAAAAUUCUUUCACCGGGGACGAUAAUGACGGUACCCGGAGAAGAAGCCCCGGCUAACUUCGUG
rnacentral:rRNA from 1 species